AUGUUUCAGACUGGUUGUCAACCAGAAGUCUCUUGCUACAAACCCAAAUUAGAGGUCCCUCAUGGAAAUAUUCUACGAGAAAGUGACUCAGAGGAAGAAAUGGAUGACUGCAUGGAUCUAAUACCUUGUGAAUUCUGCGGAGCUCUGUUUCCUGUGCAUAAAAUUGAAAACCACCAUAUGCGAUGCAAUUUUGCUAAUUUGACAUCAUCUUCAUCAGUCCAACAAAUCAAUCAAAUUUACGAUAAUGCACCAUUGAGUAGGAAAGUAUCUAAUCACUUAGCUGCCUCAAAUUCAUCACUAUCUCGUUUAUCAGGAGGAGCUAAUAAUAUAGGUGAUAAAAUUAACUCCGGAUCAAGUUCUUUCAAUUUAAGUCUGAGUAAUUAUGAUAAGAAACAAACAACGUCCGAAAACCCCAGUUCAUCUGACGGUGCUGCUGCAAGUGGCUCAACGAACAACUACACUGGUGUAAUUCGGAAACAAAAGGCAGGAAGAACUAACAAUCUAAUCAACCAACCUUAUCAGAUCCCGGAAGAAGUACCAGGCACCUCUUCCUCCAGGGAAACCAGCAGGAACAGACUAGAAAAUUUUCAUGCUAAUAAACCGUAGAACCUUUCGUCAAUGAUGAAGAUGGUAAUAUUUUUUUCUCGGAAGUUUCAAGUUUAUCUUAAUUUGUUCCUUUUUUCUGGCACUCAUAAUUUUAGUGAACUUAAUUGAUAAUGUAGAGCGUUGCCUAUGAGAAUGGAGAGGCCGUAACUACGUUCAUGUGACGUCACGCUAGUAGAUGAAACUCGGCCGCGGUUUAACAUGUGUUCAUAUGGGAGAACGCCUGAUGCAUGUUUCUUUCGUGCUGAUAUCUUCCUCGGGGUUGAUCUGAUGCAAAAAUUCAUAAGAACCUUUUCGAAAGAAGAUGAAAUUUCACUUCAGAAAAGUAACUAACCCAUAUGUGACAUUGUCUAAUAAUUGAGGAAAUGAAAGCGAAAAACCGAAAAUCGUUACUCCUCUCAGAUUCAAAUGCGCCGCUCACGCAACUUCGGCUGAUCGAGAGCCACUCUGAUUGGUCAACGCAAUGACUGCCUCACUCAUCGAUGCACCGAUGACCCGGAGAUGCUUGUUGUAUUUUGAGUCCCUUUUUACACAGAGUUACGACAACUCACUUUUGGUUGGGCUGAAAGUGGCCUAAAAAAAAAUCCAAUUCUGAUUGGUUCUCGCUCAUGGUGUCACAAACUAGUGCACCAAAA
rnacentral:lncRNA from 1 species